UUGUGUAAGAGGAUCAUAUCAGUUUUUGAGACACAUCACACGCACCGUUAAGCUUUUAGACAUUUUAAGUUCUAAACGAUUCACGUUGAUUGACGAUAUAGUUGUCCUCUUAAAUUUUCAUACAAUUUUCAAUCUAUUCAGGAUACUAUUUAAGUGUUUUAUGAACUUAGUUCGAUUCAUGUGUCCCACCUCUUGAAUAUACUCCCGUAUCCAGAAUCCCAAUAUUCAGUCUUACAGGUAUGAAUACUACAAUGAUAUCUAGAUAUCAGCUUCGACUUAGCAGUGUGUCCCCUUUAGAGGAUCUUUUCAGCUACAACAGAUGA
rnacentral:lncRNA from 1 species